rnacentral:tRNA from 1 species
GGGGUUGUGGCUCAGUGGUAGAGCUCUUGUCUCAUAUGCAUGAGCCACUGGGUUCAAUCCUCAGCACCACA